GACGAACGCUGGCGGCGUGCUUAACACAUGCAAGUCGAACGGAAAGGCCCUGCUUUUGUGGGGUUCUCGAGUGGCGAACGGGUGAGUAACACGUGAGUAACCUGCCCUUGACUUUGGGAUAACAUCAGGAAACUGGGGCUAAUACCGGAUAGGAGCUCCUGCUGCAUGGUGGUGGUUGGAAAGUUUCGGCGGUUGGGGAUGGACUCGCUGGUUAUCAGCUUGUUGGUGGGGUAGGGGCUUACCAAGGCUUUGACGGGUAGGCGGCCUGAGAGGGUGACCGGCGACAUGGGGACUGAGAUACGGCGCAGACUCCUACGGGAGGCAGCAGUGGGGAAUAUUGCACAAUGGGCGGAAGCGUGAUGCAGCAACGCCGGGUGCGGGAUGACGGCCUUCGGGUUGUGAACAGCUUUCGCCUGUGACGAGGCGUGAGUGACGGUAAUGGGUAAAGAAGCACCGGCUAACUACGUG
rnacentral:rRNA from 1 species